rnacentral:tRNA from 1 species
CCUUCGAUAGCUCAGUUGGUAGAGCGGAGGACUGUAGAUCCUUAGGUCGCUGGUUCAACUCCGGCUUGAAGGA